UCCCUGGUGUUUCAGUGGUGAAGAACCUGCCUGGAAAGGCAGGACAUGCAGGUUCAAUCCCUGGCCCGGGAA
rnacentral:tRNA from 1 species